UCGAGGAUCUUCGGCAAUGGGCGCAAGCCUGACCGAGCGACGCCGCGUGUGCGAUGAAGGCCUUCGGGUUGUAAAGCACUGUCGAGGGGGAGAAAGCCGCAAGGUUGAUCGACCCCUGGAGGAAGCACGGGCUAAGUUCGUGCCAGCAGCCGCGGUAAGACGAACCGUGCGAACGUUGUUCGGAAUCACUGGGCUUAAAGGGCGCGUAGGCGGGUGGCCAAGUCGGUGGUGAAAUCCUCCAGCUCAACUGGAGAACUGCCUUCGAUACUGGUCGUCUGGAGGGGGGUAGGGGCAGACGGAACUUCCGGUGGAGCGGUGAAAUGCGUAGAUAUCGGAAGGAACGCCGGCGGCGAAAGCGGUCUGCUGGACCCCCACUGACGCUGAGGCGCGAAAGCCAGGGGAGCAAACGGGAUUAGAUACCCCCGUAGUCC
rnacentral:rRNA from 1 species